CACUUGGCCUUAAUGAGUUAAAUGAAGAAAAAGAAACACCAUGAGUUAUAUUCAAUCAGACUUGAAAGAAGAGAUUGAAGGCAUAGUGGCACUUUGAUAUUUCCAAUGGAGCAGGAUACAAGAAUGAAGAAAUGGCACAGGAUAUACCAGGAAAAGAUUGCCACAUAGCUAGUCCGGUUUGAAUGAAAAGAUAAGUAUGAAAGUUAAAUCAACUGUUCACUCAGCAUAGUACUCAAUAUUAAGAACAGUUGUCUAUGUUCAAAAGUUUGUAGUGAGUGCAAAUUAAGUAUUAGCUAGAAAAUUUGAAAUGUAAAUCCAUCAGAGAUAAUAGAUUUAAAUUGUUCCUGGGCUGGGGAUUUAGCUCAGUGGUUCCACUACCUGCCUACAAGUGCAAGGUCCCGAGUUCGAUCCCUGGUACCAAAAAAAAAAGAAAUAGUAAAAAAAUAAAUUGUUCUUUAAAGUAGAGAUAAAUACAAAGGGGAUUAAUAGGUAUUUUAACCUCCAAAAGUAGCCUUAUUGAAAAAUCAAAGUUUGAGUAGGCAUCGAUACAGAUUAGGGGAGAAAAGAACUAGAAAAUAAUUCGUUGUAAGCAUCUCCAUUCUUCAGGGUGCCUUGAAGAGUCAUGCACUCAGAGAGGAUAAUCACUGCAUUGAAAAUGAUUAUAAUUUAUUUGUUCUACUUGCUACUUACCUGGUGACCAGAGGAGUAUCAUGCUUGGUCAGUCUUGCUAUCCAUUUACAACUAUUUUAUUAUGCUAAGAGCUCUUUCUUAAUAUAUAAUCACCAUACUUACAACGCACUAACAUAAUAAUCCCUUGCUAUAGUCAUACCAGUUUCUUUUGAACUCCUGAUUGUUUCAGAAAAAUGAACCUUCCAUUUGGAUUUAUUUUUCUUUUCUACAUAAUCUCACUAAGUUUCCCAGGCUGGUCGCCAAACUUGGGAUCUUCCUGAAUAGCUGGAAUUACAGCCAUGUGCCAUACAUAUUGCAUUCGGUUUUCAUGAUUCUUAAAAGAGAACUUUUAAAUGGAGUGAUAGUGUUUCCAUUGGAGAGAGAUGAAAUUGGAUAGAUUCUGAUUAUAUAGUCCUUGAUACUUUGGCAAAAAAAAAAUAUAUAUAUAUAUAGGCUGUACUUAGAAAAUCAGGUACAGAAUGUGAAAAUGUGAAUUUUAGGAAGUUUCUAUGACUAAACAUAGAGGCCAGCUGAAAAUGCAUUGUAGCUUAUAAGGUACUUAGGCCUAAUUUAAAAGUAUAAAAUUAACAGUGUCAAACCAGUAGUUGAACUGAAAUCUCAAAACAGAUCAAUUGGUUUUGCUGGCUAAUUGAAUACAAGAAAUGAUUAGCACAGGACAAAAACUGAAUGUGAAGAGAGGAUGACAGUGGGCAAGUUUUCCUAGUUAGGACACAAAAGGGAACAAAAGAAAGUACCUGUGAUAAAAAUGUGAUGGUAAAUAGCAUAUUAUGUUCUUAUCAAAUGGCACUUCUUGACUGAACAGUAUGUUCAUAAUUUAGUCAUGUCUGAGAAGUAAAAAGUCAUCAAAAC
rnacentral:lncRNA from 1 species